rnacentral:rRNA from 1 species
GACGAACGCUGGCGGCGUGCCUAAUACAUGCAAGUAGAACGCUGAAGGAGGAGCUUGCUCUUCUGGAUGAGUUGCGAACGGGUGAGUAACGCGUAGGUAACCUGCCUGGUAGCGGGGGAUAACUAUUGGAAACGAUAGCUAAUACCGCAUAACAGUAGAUGUUGCAUGACAUUUACUUAAAAGGUGCAAUUGCAUCACUACCAGAUGGACCUGCGUUGUAUUAGCUAGUUGGUGGGGUAACGGCUCACCAAGGCGACGAUACAUAGCCGACCUGAGAGGGUGAUCGGCCACACUGGGACUGAGACACGGCCCAGACUCCUACGGGAGGCAGCAGUAGGGAAUCUUCGGCAAUGGACGGAAGUCCGACCGAGCAACGCCGCGUGAGUGAAGAAGGUUUUCGGAUCGUAAAGCUCUGUUGUAAGAGAAGAACGAGUGUGAGAGUGGAAAGUUCACACUGUGACGGUAUCUUACCAGAAAGGGACGGCUAACUACGUG